rnacentral:rRNA from 1 species
UACGUAGGGUGCAAGCGUUAAUCGGAAUUACUGGGCGUAAAGCGUGCGCAGGCGGUUAUGCAAGACAGAUGUGAAAUCCCCGGGCUUAACCUGGGAACUGCAUUUGUGACUGCAUAGCUAGAGUACGGUAGAGGGGGAUGGAAUUCCGCGUGUAGCAGUGAAAUGCGUAGAUAUGCGGAGGAACACCGAUGGCGAAGGCAGUCCCCUGGACCUGUACUGACGCUCAUGCACGAAAGCGUGGGGAGCGAACAGG